AAGUCAUGUUGAGGACAACUUUGUAAUAAUUUCUUCUAGCGCUCCCAAGCUUCAUAUUGGGACUCCCCCUCCAAUUGUUGGAAAUUUUGUAUAUUCCUCUUAAGUUU